AUUAUUUAGAGUAAAAUGUUGUUAGUAAAUAUUUUAAUGAAAACAAAAAAUUAUGGCGGUACUUUAAGCUUUUCAGAGGAAUUUGCUCUUUAAUGGAUAAAACACCUGAACCUUACUAAAAUUAGUGAAGUCAGUUUGUAUACCACUAUAAAAGUAAUAUUUAAAUAUUAUUACUUUAAUUUUUUAAUUAAAGAAAAAUAAAUUAAGUCAUGGUGCAGCUAAAAUUUUAGAGUGAAGUGAAUUACAUUUCUUUUUAGAAAAUUUUAAAGAAUUUUAAUUUAGGAUUUGAAAGUAAAGAUUCAAUAAAAUGGUAUUUUGAAUUAAGUUCUGAAGUAUGU
rnacentral:rRNA from 1 species